GGUGGUUAGCCAGGUGUACCCUUCCCCUCUCACUGCUCCAUGUACUUCCCUCCCCCAAAGCUCAGUUCAAGAGGACAACCAUUCCAUCCAGUGGAGGACUGCUCUUUGGCCAAGGGUAUAUGAUUAGCUGUGCUCCCCUGCAGAACCUCCAAACAAGCUCUCAAAAAUGUCAGUUUUUCCCAGGUUUAUCUACCUAUUCAAUACAAUCGUAGCAAGCUGUUCUGAAGGUUUCAGCAAACUGAUUUU
rnacentral:sRNA from 1 species